AUUCUGUAAUAUAUAUUUUUUUCUAUAAAAUGUACAAUUUAUUAAUACUACUAGACUCCAUAUUUCCUAAGUGGAGUAUUCCAUAUUUUUUUAUAAGGCGGAUGCCAAAAACCUUUACUGCUGAGAAUUUUUUAUUAAAAGACCUUUAUUAUCAAUGGUUCAACCAUUAAAUCAUUUAAUAUUGUAUAAUAUGAUCUAAAGUUCUACCUAACUUUAACAAGAGAGCUAGCAUAUUAGUGGUAUUUUUAUCAUUGGUAAAAUAAGAACGUAAAACUUUUCAAAUAAACCUAUUGAUCUAUUCUACUAAACGUGAUUUAUUAAUUUAUAAUUUAUAACGGCAAUACGUAGUCUGU